rnacentral:rRNA from 1 species
GAUGAACGCUGGCGGCGUGCCUAAUACAUGCAAGUCGAGCGAACGGACGAGAAGCUUGCUUCUCUGAUGUUAGCGGCGGACGGGUGAGUAACACGUGGAUAACCUACCUAUAAGACUGGGAUAACUUCGGGAAACCGUAGCUAAUACCGGAUAAUAUUUUGAACCGCAUGGUUCAAAAGUGAAAGACGGUCUUGCUGUCACUUAUAGAUGGAUCCGCGCUGCAUUAGCUAGUUGGUAAGGUAACGGCUUACCAAGGCAACGAUGCAUAGCCGACCUGAGAGGAUGAUCAGCCACACUGGAACUGAGACACGGUCCAGACUCCUACGGGAGGCAGCAGUAGGGAAUCUUCCGCAAUGGGCGAAAGCCUGACGGAGCAACGCCGCGUGAGUGAUGAAGGUCUUCGGAUCGUAAAACUCUGUUAUUAGGGAAGAACAGAUGUGUAAGUAACUGUGCACAUCUUGACGGUACCUAAUCAGAAAGCCACGGCUUACUACGUG